GACGAACGCUGGCGGCGUGCUUAACACAUGCAAGUCGAACGGAAAGGCCCUGCUUUUGUGGGGUGCUCGAGUGGCGAACGGGUGAGUAACACGUGAGUAACCUGCCCUUGACUUUGGGAUAACUUCAGGAAACUGGGGCUAAUACCGGAUAGGAGCUCCUGCUGCAUGGUGGGGGUUGGAAAGUUUCGGCGGUUGGGGAUGGACUCGCGGCUUAUCAGCUUGUUGGUGGGGUAGUGGCUUACCAAGGCUUUGACGGGUAGCCGGCCUGAGAGGGUGACCGGGGACAAUGGGACUGAGAUAGGGAGCAGACUGCAACGGGAGGCAGCAGUGGGGAAUAUUGCACAAUGGGCGGAAGCCUGAUGAAGAAACGCCGCGUGCGGGAUGACGGCCUUCGGGUUGUAAACCGCUUUAGCCUGUGACGAAGCGUGAGUGACGGUAAUGGGUAAAGAAGCACCGGCUAACUACGUG
rnacentral:rRNA from 1 species